UUUAGAAAUGAUUUUCUAUGCUCUGUGUAGAGCAUUACAGGACCAUUUGCAUACAUGAUGGAUUUUUCUUUUCUGAGAAACAAUAUCAUCCUGGUGUUGCCAGUGCUAAAGAAGUGUUCAUUCUUCAUGAUAUGCUGCUUUGUGGAUGAUGCACCCAUUGACUGUGCCAACUUCAUCUAAACCUCUCUGAAGAAAACUUAAUGCUAAGCUGAAUCCAUGUUUAGAACUCAGGUGAAUGGUGAAAUUAAGGCAGGAUGACACCUGGUAAUAUCUUAGUGUGAUUCAAGCAAGAGAAAAGAUUAACAGUAAUGAGUAUCAUUUGAGCUAUUCAUAAAGGUUUGCCAGAGAGAAAGAUAAACAUUUUCCUUUAUAACCAUAGGGAGGUAUAUAAAUUUUCUAAAAAUAAAUUAUGUGUUCAAAUUACUUUUCUUUUUAGCACUACUGUAUUUUAUGAUGACAGAUUCAUAGCAGAUAUGGAUAUUAGUGAAUGAUCAUGUCUAGUAAGGACAGGCAGUAUUCUGUGUAGUAAAAAUAAUACCUUGUAUCUAUCUAUUGUUUCAUAAUGUGUGGACCAAUUUCACAGUCAUUAUCUUAUUUGCUCCUCAGGACAUCCCUGAGAGAAAAGAAAAAAAAUUUUACAGGGUGUGUACUUCAUAAGUUUUCUUUCUCUACCAGAUUAGCAUAAACAUCUUUUCCAUACCUGUCUCAUAUGCUUUAAGUUUUUAUUUCAUAUUUUUGUAAGUUAUAAUCACAAGCUUUGGAGAAA
rnacentral:lncRNA from 10 species